GAUCCCACGCGUCCAAACCAACGCUCGUACCCCCUGCAAGGCUGCAACCCCUAGCCAAGAUCCCCAACAACCCUAGCCCCGAUCCCGCCGUCGACGCCCUGGCCCCGAUUUCGCCAUCGCCAACGGCGCACCGGCCCAGGUGUCAGCGCGGCCCGCCCCAAAUGUCGCCCCCGCCCCGAGGCUCGCCGGAAUAGAUGACUGGAUGCCACGGCCUCGACCCACCACCACGCUCCAAACAAACUACGUGCAUCACUCAUCUCCAAGUUCAACCCCCAUGGCCGAGGACUUCAUACCGCCCUUCCCCCAACUCCCCCAUUUAUGAUUCUGGCACCCUCACGCUGUUAUACCCUCGAGUGGAACUUCCUUUUUUCUGAGACCGCGAUCUGAGGCGCCAUGUUGCACCCACAUAGACGCAUGUAUUUAUUUUCAUCCACAAAAUUGUGAUGAACAAGAGACAAAGAGCAAGCUUGCUGGAACUGAUGCAAUGAAGAUACAAAAUUUCUAUUACCAAUACUGUAGAAAAUAUCUUCACAAAGGUUCAGUUUCUCAACUUUGUUCUUUGCCCACAAUAAGUGAAAUCCAUCAUGAUUGAUCUUGGGACAAGUGGGUGGAUGGAGUUGGUCUUACUAUGGAGGGUGCUGGCCGCAGGGGAGCGAUGUUGCUUAGCUUUGACUUUGUGACAGCGCGCUGAUAUGUUUUUAGAGCUAUGGAUCAAUUUGUUGGCUUUGAAGGACAAGAUCAGAUUAUUGGCUGAUAACUUGGCUUUGAAUUUGGAUGCCAGACUGCAUGAUCUUCAUCCAGCAUCUUGGCAGAGUGGUGGUUUGCGAUGAGCAAAUCUGAUUCUAAAGACAGCCAAUUAGGAAGGCUACAAUCCAGUGUGGCAUCCUAGAUUCUGAAGGAGAGGUUGCACACGCUGAAUGAGGCUGUGAUGGUGAUGUCUAGGGCUAGCGUGCUGAAGAAUGGGCAAAUGAGUAAAAAUAAGCAUGGUAGAGAGGGAAGCUGUUUUGGAGGAGAUGAAGACUAUAGAGCUACACCAUAAGAAACUCAAGUUGCAGAGAAGCGAGACAACAAUGCUACAAGAGGAAGAGAUGGUAGGCUAUGACCUAUGAUGGAGGCAAGUCAGCGACAUGCAUGGAGGAAGAGGUAAUUUGGGUUGUUACUUGGUUCACAUACGUUGUAUAUGCAUGCCUUGUUCAUUUCCCUAGCUAUCUGCCUACCUACUUCGAUUAACAUUGUCCUGCUUUGCUUAGUUUCUAAAUUAUUAGCCUCAAAGCGAAUUUUUUUUGGGGAGUUUCCAUUGGGACUUAAGUUAUUAUUACUUGGAACAGAUAAGAGUUUUAGUUGCUUUUUACUUGAAGCUGGUCUACGAUUUUCAAAGUGUAUAACUUCGUUAAUGCCAAUUCUUGUUCAAUUGUUGGCAUCAUUCUCAGCUACUAAUGUCAAUAAUACCAUCCUUUUCCUAAUGAGAUGCAUACAAUGUCAUAUCAAAGGAUCAGAAACAUCACCCAGGAAAAUGUUAAUGUUAUCUCUAUUAAUAUCCCAAAACUGAUUGGUUUUUGUGCCUGUUAUGUAUUUGUUAAUGUUCCUUGGCCCUUUGGAUUUUUAGGUGUUCUCUCAGGAUAAGUCAAUAUAUGAGGCAGUGGAGUGUGCAUUACAACAAUCAUUGUUAGAAUGCAUAUAUAAUUCAGUCGAGAUUAAAAUCUGGCAACAUGAUUGCUCAUAUGCGUGAUAAAUUGACUGGCUUGCGUGCAAGAGCGAGUCAUAUUUAGUUUUACGGUUAAUAUGAUUGUGUGUAUGAUAUCCGGGACAAAGGUUGGUCAUCACAACCUCCUCAUAGGUAAACAGAUGAUCUCUAUGCAACCUCGACCUGCAGAACCUCACGUCCCUGUCUCUCUUUCGGCUCCUCUUGUCCUUGUCUGGCCGAUGGUGCCCAGCAACAACGACAACCCGUCGUUGAUCCCAACAAAUAGCAAAUGGUUCCACCUCAUUGUAAUCUAUGCAAUAUUCGGGUGUCCUUUCAUACAUGCUUUGGUACAGACUGUUGUACCGUGCGAUGAGGUUUCUCUUCAAUCUAUUUUAAGUUUCGGUCAUUAUUGAUCAACACUUUAUGGAUAUGAAAAUUUUGAACUUGGU